ensembl:snoRNA
CUCCUUUUGUAGUUCAUAAGAGUGAUGAUUGGAUAUUCACACUGUUAUGUGACAUGUGCCUCCCUGUUACGACCUCGGCACAUUACUUGUCUGACA